UCGAGAAUUUUCCACAAUGGGCGCAAGCCUGAUGGAGCGACGCCGCGUGGGGGAUGAAUGGCUUCGGCCCGUAAACCCCUGUCAUUUGCGAUCAACCGUUAUUAUUUAAAAGAUGAUGACCUGAUAGUAGCGAAAGAGGAAGGGACGGCUAACUCUGUGCCAGCAGCCGCGGUAAUACAGAGGUCCCAAGCGUUGUUCGGAUUCACUGGGCGUAAAGGGUGCGUAGGUGGCGAGGUAAGUCGGAUGUGAAAUCUCCAAGCUCAACUUGGAAAAUGCAUUGGAAACUACCUUGCUCGAGGUUUGGAGGGGGGACUGGAAUACUUGGUGUAGCAGUGAAAUGCGUAGAUAUCAAGUGGAACACCAGUGGCGAAAGCGAGUCCCUGGACAAAUCCUGACACUGAGGCACGAAAGCUAGGGGAACAAACA
rnacentral:rRNA from 1 species